rnacentral:rRNA from 2 species
UGCCUUCGGGAACUGUGAGACAGGUGCUGCAUGGCUGUCGUCAGCUCGUGUUGUGAAAUGUUGGGUUAAGUCCCGCAACGAGCGCAACCCUUAUCCUUUGUUGCCAGCGGUCCGGCCGGGAACUCAAAGGAGACUGCCAGUGAUAAACUGGAGGAAGGUGGGGAUGACGUCAAGUCAUCAUGGCCCUUACGACCAGGGCUACACACGUGCUACAAUGGCAUAUA